CACUGUGCGAAUGAGAGGGUUAUAUUCACUUGAGUAUACUAUCUAUAUACAAUACUGGGAACUCCUGGGUGUUUGAAAAGUGGGGGUAUUUUUUUUUCCUUCUCACUGCCCCAGAUGCGGUUAUGUGCUCCUUCUCUUCAGCAGAGUUUUCUUAUCAAUUGAUAAUUUUGUCCUAAAGGGACAAGAAUCCUACAGCUGUAUGGAUUGUACGUAUUGUUUUGCUUCAACCUUAAUUAUAAUGUUUCCCCAUGCUGUCUGUCUGUCUGUCCAGGUGUUGUUCUUCAACCUGCUAGAUUCUUCUUAAGAGAAUGCAGUGCAAGUGCUCGACUUCAGCUUUAAUUGCCAAGGCAUCCAUCACAAAGAAGGCUCUCCUUCAAAGAUGGCGACCUCCAAGAAACACAUGGUCAGCCCCAGGACAAGACAGAGCCAGGCUACCUCACCCCACUGAGCCUCCUUGGUUUCAGAGAACUCGAUUUCAAUAACUGACCAUUUGGGCCACGUGCCUUUUCUUUUCUCACCUUUUUUGAAAUUCACCAAUAGUGAGUGAGCCCCUGAACCCUAGGCCCCUACUCUCCACCCCAGUAAAAGCAGAACCUCUGGCCUGUG